AUCAGUUCCUAAUGCACUGCCU
rnacentral:miRNA from 17 species